rnacentral:rRNA from 1 species
UGCGUAGGCGGCCCUGUAAGUCAGUGCUGAAAUAUCCCAGCUUAACUGGGAGGGUGGCAUUGAUACUGCGGGGCUAGAGUACAGAUGAGGUAGGCGGAAUUGACGGUGUAGCGGUGAAAUGCUUAGAUAUCGUCAAGAACACCUAUAGCGAAGGCAGCUUACUAGGCUGUAACUGACGCUGAGGCAAAGUAGUGGGGAGUCAAC